CCACGGGCGGCAGCAGUGGGGAAUAUUGGACAAUGGGCGAAAGCCUGAUCCAGCCAUGCCGCGUGUGUGAAGAAGGCCUUCGGGUUGUAAAGCACUUUCAGUGGGGAAGAAAGCCUUGGGGCUAAUACCCUCGAGGAAGGACAUCACCCACAGAAGAAGCACCGGCUAACUCCGUGCCAGCAGCCGCGGUAAUACGGAGGGUGCGAGCGUUAAUCGGAAUUACUGGGCGUAAAGCGCGCGUAGGCGGUCUGAUAAGCCGGUUGUGAAAGCCCCGGGCUCAACCUGGGAACGGCAUCCGGAACUGUCAGGCUAGAGUGCAGGAGAGGAAGGUAGAAUUCCCGGUGUAGCGGUGAAAUGCGUAGAGAUCGGGAGGAAUACCAGUGGCGAAGGCGGCCUUCUGGACUGACACUGACGCUGAGGUGCGAAAGCGUGGGUAGCAAACAGGAUUAGAUACCCCGGUAGUC
rnacentral:rRNA from 1 species